AAAGGGAGACCUAAUUCAGGUAGGAGACGAAAAAAAAGUAGUCGCUACCAAGAAUCAAUCCCAAAAGGUCGGAGCGAGGCGAAAUUGGCUUUCAAACUAGGUUCUGGGUUCAAACAAGACCUGAAUCAGGAACAAGGGCUAUUAGCUCAGGUGGUUAGAGCGCACCCCUGAUAAGGGUGAGGUCCCUGGCUCGAGUCCAGGAUGGCCCACCUGUACAGGUGGCAAAAAGAAAGAAAAGAAGCGAGGAAUCAGCACCUUAUCUUACUUAUAUAGUAAGAGAGAAUGCUGGCUCUGAGUAAAGAGUCCAGAGGAACCUUGAAAACUGCAUAGAGCUAGGUGAAAAAGCCAAAAAAGAAGACCGCAAG
rnacentral:tRNA from 1 species